AGAUUUUCCUUGCACAAAAGAUGAUGAUAUACAAGUGCAAUCUUGUGGGCAAGCCUGUGGUCACCGCGACUCAGAUGCUUGAAUCAAUGAUCAAGUCUCCUCGGCCAACUCGUGCUGAAGCUACUGAUGUUGCCAAUGCUGUUCUUGACGGCACUGAUUGUGUAAUGCUUAGUGGUGAGAGUGCAGCUGGGGCCUACCCGGAGAUUGCUGUUAAGAUCAUGCGACGAAUUUGCAUCGAGGCUGAAUCCUCCCUUGAUUAUAGGGCUGUGUUUAAGGAGAUGAUUAGAUCAACUCCUC
rnacentral:lncRNA from 1 species